CUUUAGACCAGAGCCCUAUGGCACCCUAUAUAGUGCACUACUUUAGACCAGAGCCCUAUGGGGGCUUCUGCCCUUCUGGUCUAAAGUAGUGCACUACACUAUAUAUCAGUGCACUAUAAGAUGUGAGACACACUAUAUGACCUAUACAGUAUGUCUUCCUAUGGGCCCUGGUCAAAAAUAGUGCACUAUAUAGGGAAUAGGGUGUAUAGGUAGUGCACUAUUAUGGAAUAGGGUGUAUAGGUAGUGCACUAUUAUGGAAUAGGGUGUAUAGGUAGUGCACUAUAUAGUGAAUAGGGUGUAUAGGUAGUGCACUAUAUAGGGAAUAGGGUGUAUAGGUAGUGCACUAUAUAGGGAAUAGGGUGUAUAGGUAGUGCACUAUAUAGGGAAGAGGGUGUAUAGGUAGUGCACUAUAUAGGGAAUAGGGUGUAUAGGUAGUGUACUCUAUAUGGAAUAGGGUGUAUAGGUAGUGCACCAUAUAGGGAAUAGGGUGUAUAGGUAGUACACUAUAUAGGGAAUAGGGUGUAUAGGUAGUACACUAUAUAGGGAAUAGGGUGUAUAGGUAGUGCACUAUAUAGGGAAUAGGGUGUAUAGGUAGUACACUAUAUAGGGUGUAUAGGUAGUACACUAUAUAGGGUGUAUAGGUAGUGCACUAUAUAGGGAAUAGGGUGUAUAGGUAGUACACUAUAUAGGGUGUAUAGGUAGUGCACUAUAUAGGGUGUAUAGGUAGUGCACUAUAUAGGGUGUAUAGGUAGUACACUAUAUAGGGUGUAUAGGUAGUGCACUAUAUAGGGUGUAUAGGUAGUACACUAUAUAGGGUGUAUAGGUAGUACACUAUAUAGGGUGUAUAGGUAGUGCACUAUAUAGGGUGUAUAGGUAGUGCAGAGCAGCGAGGGAGGAGGCUGACUGUAUGUUGGACAGGUUAAUUGUUACUGUAUAGGUAGUGCACUAUAUAGGGUGUAUAGGUAGUGCACUAUAUAGGGUGUAUUGGUAGUGCACUAUAUAGGGUGUAUAGGUAGUGCACUAUAUAGGGUGUAUAGGUAGUGCACUAUAUAGGGUGUAUAGGUAGUACACUAUAUAGGGUGUAUAGGUAGUGCACUAUAUAGGGUGUAUAGGUAGUACACUAUAUAGGGUGUAUAGGUAGUACACUAUAUAGGGUGUAUAGGUAGUACACUAUAUAGGGUGUAUAGGUAGUGCAGAGCAGCGAGGGAGGAGGCUGACUGUAUGUUGGACAGGCUCCUUGUUACUGUGCUGUGUUAUUGAUGUGUGAAUCCUGGGGCUCCUCUCAAAAUGAUACAACUAAAUAAUAUACCACUGCUUUUCUAUUUAUGAAAUCACAA